rnacentral:lncRNA from 1 species
AUGCUAUGGGUCUCCCUCUGGCUUAUGAAAUACUCGAAUCAGAGCUAUAGGAAAAGUUAAUGGGAAAUUACCGUUUUUUCCCAAGGAAAUUCAGGACUGGAGCAAAGGAGAAAACAUCUGUUGAAGAGAGUUCUCCAUUCUGCAGAGAAACCAUUUAACUUCAUUGGUGGGACUCCAGAGGUUUAGUUUGCCAGUUAAAUUUGAUGACACUAGAAGACUACUAUAACUUGGAGACCAGGAAGCAGUACAAUCAGUCUUUUCUUACUGCAGUAAGAGGUGGUUUCGGAGAGACUCUCUACGUGGUGUUCAAGUGCACAAAACAUGUGGGAGAAAAUUAUCUUCCUGCCUGGAAGGUGGGCGAGAGAAAUAUCAGAAGUGGCAUCAUCCCUACAACCAAUUUUGUCUCACAUCCCAACUGCAUGUUUCAAAGAGUAAGAGGAUCAACUUUGCACAGGCUCUGUGAAACCUCUUCUUCCAGACCAUGCUUCUGUCCACAUCUCCUUCCAGGCAAAUAUGGAAAUUUCUAUUUGUGA